AGCCACGCCUAUCUAUUUUAACCCUUUCUGCAUUGUAUUAAACCGGACCAUGGGCAGAUACUCAAGGGUUUUGGGUUUUCUUUUAGGUUCUUCAGCUGUUGGUGGCAGUGCCUAUUACUGGUCACGUGACGAUGGGGAGAAGAGAUGGCUAAAAGUUCAACUCAAAGGAAUAACUCGUUUUGCAAGAUCAGCAGCCAUUGGGAUUACAAUAUCUUGUGACUACUGGUGGACAAUGAGGAAUCUGGAUGAAACUGAUCCGGAUUACUCUCUCUCCAUGAGUGCCUGCCAUCAGAGAGCUGCUGAUCGCAUAGUUAAUGGUGCAAUGGCUAAUGGAGGUCUCUAUAUAAAACUAGGGCAAGGUCUUGGGUCUUUUAAUCAGAUACUACCUAGGGAAUACAUUGAUACACUUAAAAUUCUACUCAACAAGGCUCUUUUUCGUGAUGAUAAAGAGUUGGACCAGCUCUUCAAGGAGGACUUUGGUUUAAAAGUUGAUAACAUUUUUGCACAGUUUGAUCGCCAGCCAGUCGCAGCUGCAAGCCUAGCACAAGUUUACAAAGCGAUGACUAAUGAUGGUCAGUCUGUGGCAGUCAAAGUCCAGUACAUUGACCUCAGGGAUCGCUAUCAUGGUGACAUAUGGACGAUUAGGAUUCUCCUUAAGUUUAUUGCCUGGAUGCACCCUAGCUUUAGUUUCUCGUGGGUUUUGGAUGAACUGAAAGACACUUUAUACGAGGAGUUGGAUUUUGAACACGAGGGACUCAAUCAGGAGAGAUGUGCUAGAGAGCUCAAACAUUUAUCGUACGUUUGUGUCCCAAAGAUACGCUGGGAGCAUACUUCAAAGCGUGUAUUGACAUCACAAUGGAUCGAUGGGUGUCAAGUAACGGAUGUACAAUCACUUAGAGAGAGGGGGUUGUCCUUAGCUGAAGUAGCUCAUAAAGUGACAAGAGCAUUUUCUGAGCAAUUGUUUGUGACUGGGUUUGUACAUGGGGACCCACACCCUGGAAACGUCUUAAUAUGCAAGUCACCAAAGAGCAACUCUGUUCAAGUUUGUCUAUUAGAUCACGGCCUUUAUACACCAAUCACAGAACAUAUAAGACUGAGACUAUGUGGGAUAAUAAAGUCAACUGUUCAGUAUGAUGUGCCUAAUUUAAAGUCUUACUGCCUAGAAUUGGGAAUAGAAGACUAUGAAUUAUUUGCCCUAAUGCUCACUGGGCGUACAUUAAAAUCCCACAGGGAGAUGUUCAACUCUUCACUAUUAACAAGACGCGAUGUUAAAGCAGUCACCGGAAUAUUAAUCUGAUUCGUAGCAUUAACCGGGAACUGGGUAUACCGAUCAACAGGUUUAAAGUAAUGGCUAAAAUAGCAAUUGAAGGCUACCAUUACGAGAAGGAAAAGCAAUCAUUCUCUGUUUUAAAUAGUGUUAGGCGCUGGAUUGAUCAGAGACAGUUUG
rnacentral:misc_RNA from 1 species